CCUACGGGUGGCAGCAGUGAGGAAUAUUGGUCAAUGGACGAGAGUCUGAACCAGCCAAGUAGCGUGAAGGAUGAAUGCCCUAUGGGUUGUAAACCUCUUUUAUGUGGGAAUAAAAUGUUCCACGUGUGGGAUUUUGUAUGUACCCUAUGAAUAAGGAUCGGCUAACUCCGUGCCAGCAGCCGCGGUAAUACGGAGGAUCCGAGCGUUAUCCGGAUUUAUUGGGUUUAAAGGGAGCGUAGGUGGAUUGUUAAGUCAGUUGUGAAAGUUUGCGGCUCAACCGUAAAAUUGCAGUUGAAACUGGCAGUCUGGAGUACAGUAGAGGUGGGCGGAAUUCGUGGUGUAGCGGUGAAAUGCUUAGAUAUCACGAAGAACUCCGAUUGCGAAGGCAGCUCACUGGACUGCAACUGACACUGAGGCUCGAAAGUGUGGGUAUCAAACAGGAUUAGAUACCCUUGUAGUC
rnacentral:rRNA from 1 species